UCUGCCACCACAUGGCACUCUCUCCAUGC
rnacentral:piRNA from 1 species